UACAGAGGGGGCAAGCGUUGUUCGGAAUUACUGGGCGUAAAGGGCGCGUAGCGGCCUUCUAAGUCGAACGUGAAAUCCCCGGGCUCAACCCGGGAACUGCGUCCGAUACUGGAAGGCUUGAAUCCGGGAGAGGGAUGCGGAAUUCCAGGUGUAGCGGUGAAAUGCGUAGAUAUCUGGAGGAACACCGGUGGCGAAGGCGGCAUCCUGGACCGGUAUUGACGCUGAGGCGCGAAAGCCAGGGGAGCAAACGGG
rnacentral:rRNA from 1 species